AGAGUUUGAUUAUGGCUCAGAACGAACGCUGGCGGCAUGCUUAAUACAUGCAAGUCGAACGAAGUCUUCGGACUUAGUGGCGAACGGGUGCGUAAUAUGUGGGAAUCUACCUAGAGGUUCGGAAUAACUACGGGAAACUGUAGCUAAUACCGGAUGUGUCUGCAAAGAGAAAGAUUUAUCGCCUUUAGAUGAGCCCGCACUAGAUUAGUUUGUUGGUGAGGUAAGAGCUCCACCAAGACUACGAUCUAUAGCUGAUUUGAGAGGAUGAUCAGCCACACUGGGACUGAGACACGGCCCAGACUCCUACGGGAGGCAGCAGUGGGGAAUAUUGGACAAUGGGGGAAACCCUGAUCCAGCAAUGCCGCGUGAGUGAAGAAGGCCUUAGGGUUGUAAAACUCUUUCACCGGGGAAGAUAAUGACGGUACCCGGAGAAGAAGCUCCGGCCAACUCCGUGCCAGCAGCCGCGGUAAUACGGAGGGGGCUAGCGUUGUUCGGAAUCACUGGGCGUAAAGGGUGUGUAGGCUGUAUGUCAAGUCUGUUGUUAAAUUUCUCGGCCUAACCGAGAUUCGGCGAUAGAAACUGGCAAACUAGAGAGUGGAAGAGAGGAGUAGAAUUCUCGGAGUAGCGGUAAAAUGCGUAGAUAUCGAGAGGAAUACCAAUGGCGAAGGCAGCUCCUUGGUCCAACUCUGACGCUGAUACACGAAAGCGUGGGUAGCAAACAGGAUUAGAUACCCUGGUAGUCCACGCUGUAAACGAUGAUCACUAGAU
rnacentral:rRNA from 1 species